rnacentral:lncRNA from 1 species
UGCAGGCAGAUACAGGGCCUUCGUCGACUGGCGUAAAAAUGGGACGGAUAACUUCAUCAUUAAGUGUGGUGAUGUCAUACAACUACAGCAUGAGGAAAAUGAUGGCCAGUGGCUGGUGAAGAAUCUGAGUCGCAGACAGGAAGGCCGUAUCCCUACUGCCAACCUGCAGGGCAUCCUGGGGGAAAGCCUCAAGAAUCACUCCAACCGGCUUGGAGACCCAGGGAAUCGUAAAGCACGGAAGCUCAGCUCGCCAUGAAGGAAUGGCCCAGUGCAAUAUUGGACCUUUAAUAUUCACGCUUGGUAG